CUACGGGAGGCUGCAGGUGCGAAACCUUUACACUGUACGAAAGUACGAUAAGGGAAUCCCAAGUGCUCAUGCUUUGCAUGGGCUUUUGCCAAGAGUAAAUAUCUUGGCGAAUAAGUGGUGGGCAAGACGGGUGCCAGCCGCCGCGGUAACACCCGCGCCACAAGUGGGGACCUCGUUUGAUUGGGCCUAAAGCGUCCGUAGCUGGUUUGGUAAAUCUUCUGUGAAAUCGUUGGGCUUAACUUAACGGCGUGCAGGAGACACUACCAGACUUGGAACCGGGAGGAGUUAGGAGUAUUCUGGGGGGAGCGGUAAAAUGCUAUAAUCCUCGGAAGACUACCUGUGGCGAAGGCGCCUAACCAGAACGGAUUCGACAGUGAGGGACGAAAGCUAGGGGAGCGAACCGGAUUAGAUACCCCCGUAGUC
rnacentral:rRNA from 1 species